UUUAUCGGAUGGCGCAGUAUCCUAGUUAACCGAAUCCCGCCGAACAUGUGCCUAAAAACGCAUGAAAAGGCAAAUCGAUGAAGCUCCUUGUGUCUGCUUCUUACGCCCAGUCUGGGGUGGAUGCUGGGAGAAAUGGUUUUUUGGGACGCCCGUAACGGCAUACGGGACCGGACCCAACUGACCGGGAGGCUUUCUUCUGUGAGGCCGGAAAUGACCGGGCACCUGACAGAUUAAAGAUUAAACCCAUCACGCGGUGCGUAAUUCGACGCUGUGGAUGGCGUAGCCUGCCUUGAGUGGCUUCAGCGGAUGGCAACGCUCGCGGAAACCUGAAAUUGCAGCUGCAAAAAAGGAUUAGGCGGGGACGUAGGUUAUUGAGGAAAUCUCCUAGGCUGAGAAAUACAGGUGCGGAGCGGAUUGCAGUGCGGACUGUCAAGGCAAUCAAGCCCCGGGAACAGCGAUGCCCCGGCGGAGAAUUUAAAGGGGAACCGCUUUCUGGCAACGGAAAGUAUUCUUCGGGGAAAUCCUGCUUGACCGUAAGCCGCAAAGUUUACGCCCCGCACCGCCAUCACCUU
rnacentral:sRNA from 1 species